UACGUAGGGUGCGAGCGUUAAUCGGAAUUACUGGGCGUAAAGCGUGCGCAGGCGGUCUGUUAAGACCGAUGUGAAAUCCCCGGGCUUAACCUGGGAACUGCAUUGGUGACUGGCAGGCUUUGAGUGUGGCAGAGGGAGGUAGAAUUCCACGUGUAGCAGUGAAAUGCGUAGAGAUGUGGAGGAAUACCGAUGGCGAAGGCAGCCUCCUGGGCCAACACUGACGCUCAGUGCACGAAAGCGUGGGGAGCAAACAGG
rnacentral:rRNA from 1 species